rnacentral:rRNA from 1 species
UACGUAGGGGGCAAGCGUUGUCCGGAAUCAUUGGGCGUAAAGAGCGUGUAGGCGGUCCGGUAAGUCGGCUGUAAAAGUCAAAGGCUCAACCUUUGAAUGUCAGUGGAUACUGCCGGGCUAGAGUUCGGUAGGGGAGACUGGAAUUCCUGGUGUAGCGGUGAAAUGCGCAGAUAUCAGGAGGAACACCGAUGGCGAAGGCAGGUCUCUGGGCCGAUACUGACGUUGAGGAGCGAAAGCGUGGGGAGCGAACAGG